UACGGGGGGGGCAAGCGUUGUUCGGAAUUACUGGGCGUAAAGGGCUCGUAGGCGGCCAACUAAGUCAGACGUGAAAUCCCUCGGCUUAACCGGGGAACUGCGUCUGAUACUGGAUGGCUUGAGUUUGGGAGAGGGAUGCGGAAUUCCAGGUGUAGCGGUGAAAUGCGUAGAUAUCUGGAAGAACACCAAAGGCGAAGGCAGCAUCCUGGAUCACUCCUGACGCUCAGGUGCGAAAGCUAGGGGAGCGAACGGG
rnacentral:rRNA from 1 species